UGCUAAAAGGCAAGGCAAGGACGAAUAAACUUUUUAAAACCAAAAAAACCUCGUGUUUCAGUGCUGACUUAUAUGUAAGAUGGUGUGAAAGAUUAUGGAAAAAUGUCGUUUAAUACUUCAACUUUCAAAUUGUGGCCAUUUUAUACCUCAACUUUACAUGCGGCCAUUUUAAACAUGAAGAUAUCGUUGACCAACUGUUUAAACUAUAAACAUUCGUUGACCAGACCAAAAAAACUAACCGUUAACAGUCGUUAACUGAUUAUCUAACGUCUGUUAACAUCUCCGUUAGCCACCUUUAAACGAUGUCGUUUUCAUCUUUUAAAAUUGAUUGACGAACGUAGGAUUCGAACCCACAACCUGCGACAAGAACAAGACCCUUACUUAACCAUCUCACCUAUUGUAUUUGAUAGGUAACCUUACGAAACAAAUAUAAUUAUAUAGUUUUAAAAGCUUUCUUCUUCAUCUUUAACCUACAUCUUUAAUCUACGAAAUCUGGGUUCUCUCUCAGAUGAUUUAUUUUAUAGUAU
rnacentral:sRNA from 1 species